rnacentral:lncRNA from 10 species
UCUGACCAUGUUGGAUCACUGCAGGGGCAGUGUCGUCCACCCCUGGUUGGUCAUCCCGAGGGCCAACCUCCUUCCCAUGCAGCCCGGGCUCCUCGCCAUCCCUGGAGUUCUCGGGGCUCAGCCAGCAGAUGGAAAGAGACGGAGCUGAAAGCUCCUGGUGAGACUUAGGGGUCAGGGUUGGGGAUGGCACUGACUCCUUGUUCGCAUUCACCAGCCAAGUAAGACCUCUAGAAGGACUUUGUAAUAAGAAGGCAAUAAAUCAAGUUGGGAAGCAGCACUCUGAGUGGGAGCGAACGUCUUAUUUCCUGUCAAAAGUUCACGGAAGGGAGGCACGCAGUGAGUGAGGGUUCGGUCCAGGACAAAGCAUUGAGCUGCGCAGGAGAAGACGGCCUCUGUGUGCUGCUCUAAGGGAGCCACUGUCUGGUGGGGGAGGCAGGCAGAAGCCAGGCAGUGACAUCCAGGAAGCCCCGAGGCCCAGGAAGCACAGCCUGAGGCAGGGUGGUCAGGGAAGCCUGCCUGGAGGAGGUGGCAGCCUAGCUGAGGAUGAGUCCCUCCAGGGAAGAACUGGGGGAAGCAGACACACAGAGGGGGCCCUGCCAUGAGAAGGGCUCCCUGCCACAACUCUCCUGGUGCUCAGGCACAUGGUUGGAGUCCUUCAGAGGGUCCAGCUCACCAGAGGACGCCCAGAGUCCCAGAGUAGGUCAGGCCUCUUACCGCCAGUAGCGCCUCCGCUGUGCCAUGCUGGUCUAAGUAAUUUCGGGCUUACUGUGUAGGUGGCACUAAGAUUGGAUCCCAAGUCAGAGAUCCCCAUGGUGCAGUUUUUCAGGGAAGAUGAGAAAACUAGAGCACCAUGCGCGUGUCAUGAGACUUCCUCACUCUGGCUGGCACACUCUGGUUUGCAAGACCCUCGUCUAUCUGUGGACUCCCAGUCCCGUGGCGUGUCCCUGUUACGUGUUUGACGGGUGGGGGAAGGGAAAUGUACGGGGCAGAAAUGGCCCACCUGGUCUGCCA